rnacentral:tRNA from 1 species
UCCCUGGUGGUCCAGUGGAUAGGACAACACACUCUCAUAGUGAGGGCCCAGGUUCAAUCCCUAGUUGGGGAA